rnacentral:rRNA from 1 species
CAGCAGCCGCGGUAAUACGUAGGGUGCGGGCGUUAAUCGGAAUUACUGGGCGUAAAGCGUGCGCAGGCGGUUUUGUAAGACAGGCGUGAAAUCCCCGGGCUCAACCUGGGAAUGGCGCUUGUGACUGCAAAGCUAGAGUGCGGCAGAGGGGGAUGGAAUUCCGCGUGUAGCAGUGAAAUGCGUAGAUAUGCGGAGGAACACCGAUGGCGAAGGCGAUCCCCUGGGCCUGCACUGACGCUCAUGCACGAAAGCGUGGGGAGCAAACAGGAUUAGAUACCCCCGUAGUCCCUGUCUCUAUACC